AUUAAACUCCCCCUGCCCCCCCUCGCCUCCCCCCAUACGGCAGUUUCUCCCGUGAAAGGGCAUAGGUCAAUAUUACAGAGGUGGGGAAAAUGAAAAGGAUAUCAAGCAAUUGUGAGAGAUGAAGAAAAUGUCAAGAGGGCAGAAGAAAUCAAAUAAUGAGGGGAAAUAAUGGAGGACACAAAAUGUGUGAAGCAGCGACUUAAUUGUGCUGAAGUGAGUCCUUCUGCUGCUGUGAGAGAGAAAGGCCUGGGUGGAGCUGCCGGGUGGAGGAGCCGGUUGAAGGACUAGGUGGAGUUGCUGGGUGGAGCUGCUGCUUGAAUGGCCUGGGUGGAGGAGCCGGGUGACGUGGGGAACAGGUGACGCUGCACGCUGCUCAACAGGUGCGGCGGUAAAAGGCGGCGCUGACAGACGAAGCAGAAGAGAGCGGGACAGAGAAAGAAAAACCCCGAGGGAGAAACCGGAGGAUGAGGAGGAUGAGGAGGAUGAGGAGGAACGGGUUCCUCAGAGACUCACAGCUGUAUUUAAUAAAAGGCUCAGCAGCGUUGAUCUGACUCGGGGGGAUUUCUCCAAACAUCCUGAAGAGCUGAAAGGACGCUGUGACCCGCGCGCUGCUCUGAUUGAGCACUUCCUGUUUCAAGCACUCACUGAGGACCUGAGGACAAAUGUGUCUUACGGGUCUCUCAGCUCGGGAGCUUUUUGAUAUUCCCAACAAUCAGCGGCCACCGCGAGCUUUUUAUAGCUGCUUGUUUAUACUCUGGCCACUAGAGAGAGAAACUCCAGAACAAAACUACAUCAUCACCUUAUGAAAUGGUUUAGAAACAUUGUUGCCAACCUUCACCUCACAAAUAUAUUCCUGAG
ensembl:lncRNA